rnacentral:rRNA from 1 species
GAUGAACGCUGGCGGCGUGCUUAACACAUGCGAGUCGAACGGAAAGGCUCCUGCUUGCAGGGGUACUCGAGUGGCGAAAGGGGGGGUAACACGUGGGUGAUCUUCCCUGCACUUCGGGAUAAGCCUGGGAAACUGGGUCUAAUACCGGAUAGGACGAUGGCUUGGAUGCCAUUGUGGAAAGUUUUUCGGUGUGGGAUGAGCUCGCGGCCUAUCAGCGCGGUGGAGGGGUAAUGGCCUACCAAGGCGUCGACGGGUAGCCGGCCUGGGAGGGUGUACGGCCACAUUGGGACUGAGAUACGGCCCAGACGCCUACGGGAGGCAGCAGUGGGGAAUAUUGCACAAUGGGCGCAAGCCUGAUGCAGCGACUCCGCGUGGGGGAUGACGGCCUUCGGGUUGUAAACUCCUUUCGCUAGGGACGAAGCGCAAGUGACGGUACCUGGAGAAGAAGCACCGGCUAACUACGUG